rnacentral:lncRNA from 1 species
UCCUUUUUGCUUUUGACUUCGAGCCUCUACCUGUUUGAGUUAUUGCUCUCUCUGUUUGAGUUGUGGCCUUUGGAUUUGUACUUGUUGCUUCUAUUAUAUAUGGUGUAUCACUUAUAGUUGUCAUCUAAUAAAAUGAGAUUUUAAAAGUUAAAAAUUUAGUUACACAAUAAAGAAGCAAUCUUAACAAAAGAUAAAUUAGAAUCUAAAGCACAAACUCAUAU